rnacentral:rRNA from 1 species
UACAGGGGGGGCAAGCGUUGUUCGGAAUUACUGGGCGUAAAGGGUCUGUAGGUGGCCAACUAAGUCAGACGUGAAAUCCCUCAGCUUAACUGGGGAACUGCGUCUGAUACUGGAUGGCUUGAGUGUGGGAGAGGAAUGCGGAAUUCCAGGUGUAGCGGUGAAAUGCGUAGAUAUCUGGAGGAACACCGGUGGCGAAGGCGGCAUCCUGGACCGGCAUUGACGCUGAGUGAGCGAAAGCCAGGGGAGCAAACGGG